UACGAAGGGGGCUAGCGUUGCUCGGAAUUACUGGGCGUAAAGAGCUCGUAGGCGGUUUUGUCGCGUCUGCUGUGAAAACUCAGGGCUUAACCCUGAGCCUGCAGUGGGUACGGGCAGACUGGAGGUAUGCAGGGGAGAACGGAAUUCCUGGUGUAGCGGUGAAAUGCGCAGAUAUCAGGAGGAACACCGGUGGCGAAGGCGGUUCUCUGGGCAUGACCUGACGCUGAGGAGCGAAAGUGUGGGGGAGCGAACAGG
rnacentral:rRNA from 1 species